AUGUCUGUAUAACAAUUGGGCAGUUGAGGCUAAGAGUUGUUUUAUUUAAAUAAGCUAGUGGUUCCUCUUUUUUACCGUUCAAUUAAAGUCUAGGAACGGGAGUCAAGACUACAGUUUUGGCACACCUGACAGCAAAAGUCGCUGAAAUUGGGACAUGUCACUUUCUUGUUAGCAAUAGCUCAUCAGAGUCAUCACAACCUAUUGAUUAUUGUAAAAGAUAUUAUUUUUCCAUUAUUUUUUUCAUGACUUUAUAUUUCUUGAAUGGUCAGUCAUUGACUAUAGCUAUGGCUUUUAUUUCUUGUUGGCACUGAUAAUUAUAAUGCUUUUCACGCUCCUGAAACAAAGGGAUUUUUUUAACUCAUUUUAUUUUUUAAUGGGUCCCAAAAAUAGAUGGUAU
rnacentral:misc_RNA from 1 species